rnacentral:lncRNA from 1 species
AAACUUUUCCGUGUUCGUCAAUCUGAAGUCUUCCCAUACUUUCUUCCCGAGGGGGUGCCCUUCUCCAGCAACCUUCUGCAGAUUUAAACUGGAGCGAUUUUCCCGUGCUCACCCUGCCGCAGACAUUUUCAAAAGAAACCCGUGUUGCUCCUCUGUGCUGGGUGGCAGAACCCUCAGGACACCAAUCAUCUCACACUUAACGACCCAGCCAGAUAUCAGCCUGCUUUACUGCCUUCAGCUGGGGAGCUCUCCAAGGGACUGGUCCUGCAGAAGUGUUGUCAGUCAGUUAACCAGGCAGACCAAGUGCUGUGUUUCAAGCAGAAGAUGAGGUGAAGAAGCAGAUCCUGUUUCAAGGGCUGGAGACCUUGACUGGGCAGUGCCCAAACCAGGGCAGGGCACCUCUGUGGCCCUCAUGGCCUUCUUCCAGGGUGUGUGCUGUACAGAGGGAAGCAGAAGCACCUUCAAAAGCUAGAAAAUAGGAAAAUGUCCUGAAGCACAGCAGUUACAACUGAUAGUUGAAGUCAACAAGGUGAAGAAUUAUUUACUUUGCUGCUUUAAAGAAAAAGGAGGGGGCUGAGGAAGAGGGAGUAGAGUGGAAAUACUAACCAACAAAUGUAAAUGCUUAAAUUUGCAUUGCUAUAAUGUUGUCUAAGAGUAUGGAAAUUUCAAGGGUUUUACUUUACCUCCACAGGAAGUUUUGUGUUUAUAUUUUAAUUUCUGGGAACCCAAGGGCAAAGCAAAGCAAUUAAAAUGUUGAAGACUUAAAAAUAAACUUCAGAAGCUUCAAGUAAAAUACCUUUAG